AUUGAACGCUGGCGGCAUGCCUUACACAUGCAAGUCGAACGGUAACGGGCCUUCGGGUGCCGACGAGUGGCGAACGGGUGAGUAAUACAUCGGAACGUGCCCGAUCGUGGGGGAUAACGAGGCGAAAGCUUUGCUAAUACCGCAUACGAUCUACGGAUGAAAGCAGGGGACCGCAAGGCCUUGCGCGGACGGAGCGGCCGAUGGCAGAUUAGGUAGUUGGUGGGAUAAAAGCUUACCAAGCCGACGAUCUGUAGCUGGUCUGAGAGGAUGAUCAGCCACAUGGGGAUGGAGACACGGCCCAGACCCCACGGGGGGGCAGCAGGGGGGAAUUUGGGACAAGGGGCGCAAGCCUGACCCAGCCAGGCCGCGUGCAGGAUGAAGGCCUUCGGGUGGUAAACUGCUUUUUUAGGGAACGAAAAGCCUUUUUUUAAAACAGGGGGGUCAUGACGGUACCGAAAGAAUAAGCACCGGCUAACUACGU
rnacentral:rRNA from 1 species